AGAACGAACGCUGGCGGCAUGCCUAAUACAUGCAAGUCGAACGAACACUUCGGUGUUAGUGGCGCACGGGUGCGUAACGCGUGGGAAUCUGCCCUUGGGUUCGGAAUAACAGUUGGAAACGACUGCUAAUACCGGAUGAUAUCGAAAGAUCAAAGAUUUAUCGCCCAGGGAUGAGCCCGCGUAGGAUUAGCUAGUUGGUGAGGUAAAGGCUCACCAAGGCGACGAUCCUUAGCUGGUCUGAGAGGAUGAUCAGCCACACUGGGACUGAGACACGGCCCAGACUCCUACGGGAGGCAGCAGUAGGGAAUAUUGGACAAUGGGCGCAAGCCUGAUCCAGCAAUGCCGCGUGAGUGAUGAAGGCCUUAGGGUUGUAAAGCUCUUUUACCCGAGAUGAUAAUGACAGUAUCGGAGAAUAAGCCCCCGGCUAACUCCGCGCCAAGCAGCCGC
rnacentral:rRNA from 1 species